rnacentral:rRNA from 1 species
UACGAUGAAGAGUUUGAUCCUGGCUCAGGAUGAACGCUAGCGGCAGGCUUAACACAUGCAAGUCGAGGGGUAUAGUUCUUCGGAACUAGAGACCGGCGCACGGGUGCGUAACGCGUAUGCAAUCUACCUUUCACAGAGGGAUAGCCCAGAGAAAUUUGGAUUAAUACCUCAUAGUAUUAUAGAGUGGCAUCACUUUA